CCUACGGGUAGCAGCAGUCGAGAAUCAUUCACAAUGGGGGAAACCCUGAUGGUGCGACGCCGCGUGGGGGAAUGAAGGUCUUCGGAUUGUAAACCCCUGUCAUGUGGGAGCAAAUUAAAAAGAUAGUACCACAAGAGGAAGAGACGGCUAACUCAGUGCCAGCAGCCGCGGGAAUACAGAGGUCUCAAGCGUUGUUCGGAAUCACUGGGCGUAAAGCGUGCGUAGGCUGUUUCGUAAGGCGUGUGUGAAAGGCGCGGGCUCAACCCGCGGACGGCACAUGAUACUGCGAGACUAGAGUAAUGGAGGGGGAACCGGAAUUCUCGGUGUAGCAGUGAAAUGCGUAGAUAUCGAGAGGAACACUCGUGGCGAAGGCGGGUUCCUGGACAUUAACUGACGCUGAGGCACGAAGGCCAGGGGAGCGAAAGGGAUUAGAUACCCGUGUAGUC
rnacentral:rRNA from 1 species